GACGAACGCUGGCGGCGUGCUUAACACAUGCAAGUCGAACGGAAAGGCCCUGCUUGCAGGGUACUCGAGUGGCGAACGGGUGAGUAACACGUGGGUGAUCUGCCCUGCACUUCGGGAUAAGCCUGGGAAACUGGGUCUAAUACCGGAUAGGAGCCAUUUUUAGUGUGAUGGUUGGAAAGUUUUUUCAGUGUAGGAUGAGCUCGCGGCCUAUCAGCUUGUUGGUGGGGUAAUGGCCUACCAAGGCGGCGACGGGUAGCCGGCCUGAGAGGGUGGACGGCCACAUUGGGACUGAGAUACGGCCCAGACUCCUACGGGAGGCAGCGGUGGGGAAUAUUGCACAAUGGGCGCAAGCCUGAUGCAGCGACGCCGCGUGGGGGAUGACGGCCUUCGGGUUGUAAACUCCUUUCGCUAGGGACGAAGCUUUUUGUGACGGUACCUAGAUAAGAAGCACCGGCUAACUACGUG
rnacentral:rRNA from 1 species